rnacentral:sRNA from 1 species
UAGUAAUAAAACAUAUGCCUAUCUAUAC